rnacentral:rRNA from 1 species
UAAAGAUUCAUCGGCUGCGGAUGGCCAUGCGGCGCAUUAGCUAGUCGGCGGGGUAACGGCCCACCGAGGCGACGAUGCGUAGGGGUUCUGAGAGGAAGGUCCCCCACACUGGUACUGAGACACGGACCAGACUCCUACGGGAGGCAGCAGUGAGGAAUAUUGGUCAAUGGCCGGGAGGCUGAACCAGCCAAGUCGCGUGAGGGAAGACGGCCCUACGGGUUGUAAACCUCUUUUGUCAGGGAGCAAGAGGCGGGUCGAGACCUGCUGUGAGAGUACCUGAAGAAAAAGCAUCGGCUAACUCCGUGCCAGCAGCCGCGGUAAUACGGAGGAUGCGAGCGUUAUCCGGAUUUAUUGGGUUUAAAGGGUGCGCAGGCGGAGGCACAAGUCAGCGGUAAAAUCGCGGGGCUCAACCCCGCUCCGCCGUUGAAACUGUGUCCCUUGAGUGCGCGAAGGGUAGGCGGAAUGCGUGGUGUAGCGGUGAAAUGCAUAGAUAUCACGCAGAACUCCGAUCGCGAAGGCAGCCUACCGGCGCGCAACUGACGCUCAUGCACGAAAGCGUGGGUAUCGAACAGGAUUAGAUACCCUGGUAGUCCACGCAGUAAACGAUGAAU